AAUUCAGCGCUGGGUUGGAAGGAAUCUUUUCCUGCAUCUUGUGUCAUGCCUCUGCUUAACGAUGAGUCAUUACAGAGUUUCAGUGCCAAAGGCUAUCUGUCCUUCUAGGACUUCAACCUGAAAUUCCUAGCUGGAAAUUUUGUUGUCUUGUGUCCUUUGUCAGUAGCACUGAAGAUUUAAUUGUUGCGCAUCAAGAAGCACGUUUUAUCUCUUGUCCCUUGGGAUGCAUCUUAAUUAUGGCAAGUGCAUGGAGCAAGUUAUCAAACAUAGAUCAAACAAGAAGGGCAAGCAUUUCUAUGCCAGAAGGCAGAUGGGUUUCCAGACUGAGUGGUUUGGUCAGCGAUCUCUCCUUCAGUAAGAUUCUGACAGAUCUCCUCCAAUGUGCAUCCUUUUGGAAGUACACAUCUGUACUGUUUUGCUCCAGACUAAAAAAUUAAAUCUUCAUGGCAGAAACUAUGUAGUAUUUGCAAUUCUGUUAGAAUAACCAAAUGCGCUCUUGCUAAGGAAAAAAAUACUAAGAUGAUUUGCUGAGCUAAUGUGGGAGGCUCCCAUAGCUCUAAAAUAAGGGAAGGGGCCAUCAGAACUGUCUUCAGCUGAACUGGCUUUCUAAAGCAUUCACACAAUUCCAUGAUAGAAAUGACUGGACUGAUUUUUGUGCAUGCAAAUCUUGUUGCCGCUCCAAGUGUUUAAGAGCAAGUUGUCGAUGCAGGUGUUCGAAGGACUCGUGAGAAGCAGUUAGCACAGUCCUGAGUCAUGAGCAAUCACUACAUCUUUAAACAGUUGUUCUAAUGGUCCAUUCUGUAUGUAACAUUCUUCAGUGAGUCAACUACUAUCAUAUCUGUAUAAUGCUCCUAAUUCAUGUAUCCUAUUUGGAUUGACAAAG
rnacentral:lncRNA from 1 species